rnacentral:misc_RNA from 1 species
GAUGAAGAACGUAGCGAAAUGCGAUACUUGGUGUGAAUUGCAGAAUCCCGUGAACCAUCGAGUCUUUGAACGCAAGUUGCGCCCGAAGCCAUUAGGCCGAGGGCACGCCUGCCUGGGCGUCACACGUCGUUGCCCCCCCAUCUACUCCUUCGGGAUUGCGGGGGGCGGAUGAUGGCCUCCCGUGCGCCUCGCCGCGCGGUUGGCAUAAAUGCCAAGUCCUCGGCGACGCACGCCACGACAAUCGGUGGUUGCGAAACCUCGGUUGCCCGUCGUGUGCGGUCGUCGCGCAUCGAGGGCUCGAAAAAAUUGCCGGGUUCCGGCUCGGCUUUCAACGCGACCCCAGGUCAGGCGGGGUUACCCGCUGAAUUUAAGCAUAUCAAUAAGCGGGA